GUCCUCUCCUUAGCCUAUAAAUACAUCCACCAUUCCCCUUCCUAAGGACAAUCUUGAUCCAUCAAAAGAGCUUCAUUCACAAACACAAGUCCCUUGCCUUGAGCUCCAUUCCAUUUCAUCCAUACAUUAAAACACAUCUCCAUACAUUUCCAUUUUCCAUGUCGUGCAAAUCCAUUCCAUCCAUAUAUCCAUACACAUCCUAGACACUUGUGCUACAACAAGGUGGUGAAAACAAAGGUCCUUGGCGUUUCAAGCUUGGAACUUUGGAGUGUUUUAGGUGUACUUCGUUCUUGCUUUCAAUGUCUACUUUGUUAUUUUCUAAUUUUGUUGCAAUUAUGAGUGGCUAAACCCCUAUUUAGUUAGGGGGAAGUUUGAAGCCAUGAACAUGCUUGAGAUUUGAAUUGAUUUCUUCCAAUUGUGAUUUGAUAAGUUGUGAUUGCAAUUCAAUUAUCGAUUUUAUUCAUAACUGAUUCUUGUAUGUUUAUUAAGGAUGCAUACUUAGUUUUCAUGCAUGAAUUAGAUGCUAGAAUAUAAAUGAGUUUGACCUAAUCAUUACAAGUUUAUAUUCAUGAGUAGUGAAGGUUUGUUUAUCAUAAUCACGUUAAUUGAAUUCUUGGCAAUUGUAUCAUGCAUUCAUAGUUAUAAUUGCCUCGUCAAUACUUAUGAUUUUCAUUGAAUGUAAUGAUCUUUGAUUGUAUCUCUAUUAUGCAUUCAUAUAGGGGACUUUUAGAGAAUGAUUUGGGU
rnacentral:lncRNA from 1 species